GAAGACUGAAGUGGAGAAAGGUUCCAUGGUAACAGCAGUUGGACAUGGGUGAGUCGGUCCUAAGAGAUAGGGGAACUCCGUUUCAAAGUGUGCGCUUGUUCGCACGGCCUAUCGAAAGGGAAUACGGUUAAAAUUCCGUAACCGCAAUGUAGAUUCUGAACGGCAACGUAAAUGAACUUGGAGACGCCGGUGUGGGCCCUGGGAAGAGUUAUCUUUUCUCCUUUACAGCUUAUAACCCUGGAAUCGGAUUAUCCGGAGAUAGGGUCUAAUGGCUGGUAGAGCAUUGCUAUUUUGUAAUGUCCGGUGCGUCCACAACGGCCCUUGAAAAUCCGAGGGAAUGAAAAAGUCUUACAUGCGAUCGUACCCAUAUCCGCAUCAGGUCCCCAAGGUGAUCAGCCUCUAGUCCAUAGAAUAAUGUAGAUAAGGGAAGUCGGCAA
rnacentral:rRNA from 1 species